AGAGUUUGAUCCUGGCUCAGAAUGAACGCUGGCGGCGUGCCUAACACAUGCAAGUCGGACGAGAAAAGCCUUCGGGCUUAGUAAAGUGGCGAACGGGUGAGCAAUACUUAGGAAUCUACCUUUUAGUAGAGAAUACCUCCGAGAAAUCGGGGUUAAUACUGUAUAACCCCUGUGAUGAACAGGGCAAAGGCGGCCUCUUGCUGUCGCUAAAAGAUGAGCCUAUGGCCUAUUAGUUAGUUGGUGGGGUAAUAGCCUACCAAGACGAAGAUGGGUAACCGACCUGAGAGGGUGAUCGGUCACACUGGAACUGAGACACGGUCCAGACUCCUACGGGAGGCAGCAGUGAGGAAUAUUGCGCAAUGGGGGCAACCCUGACGCAGCGACGCCGCGUGAGUGAGGAAGGCCUUCGGGUCGUAAAGCUCUGUCAAAGGGAAAGAAAUGUAUAAUGGCUAAUACCUGUUAUAUUUGACGGUACCCUUAAAGGAAGCACCGGCUAACUCCGUGCCAGCAGCCGCGGUAAUACGGGGGGUGCAAGCGUUGUUCGGAAUCAUUGGGCGUAAAGCGCGUGUAGGCGGCUUGACAAGUCAGAUGUGAAAUCCCUGGGCUUAACCCAGGAAGUGCAUUUGAAACUGUCUAGCUAGAGUAAGGGAGAGGAAAGUGGAAUUCCUGGUGUAGAGGUGAAAUUCGUAGAUAUCAGGAGGAACACCGGUGGCGAAGGCGACUUUCUGGCCCUAUACUGACGCUGAGACGCGAAAGCGUGGGUAUCAAACAGGAUUAGAUACCCUGGUAGUCC
rnacentral:rRNA from 1 species